UAAUGGUAUAUUUCAAAACUGCUAAAAUUUUAAUGGCAUGGAUCUAAUUAACCCUU
rnacentral:sRNA from 1 species